UACAACAUAGCAUUAAUGCACUGGAGCCCAUUAGAACUCCUCAGUUAAGCGUGCUCAAGAGAGGAUAGUACUGGGAUGGGUGACCGCCCGAGAAGUCCUAGUGUUUUAC
rnacentral:rRNA from 1 species